UACCACAUCCAAAGAAGGCAGCAGGCGCGCAAAUUACCCAUUACCGACACGGUGAGGUAGUGACGAAAAAUAACGAUACAGGUCUCUUUCGAGGCCCUGUAAUCGGAAUGAGCGUAUCCUAAACCCAUGGGUGAGGACCCAUUGGAGGGCAAGUCUGGUGCCAGCAGCCGCGGUAAUUCCAGCUCCAAUAGCGUAUAUUAAAGUUGCUGCAGUUAAAAAGCUYGUAGUUGGAUCUCGGGA
rnacentral:rRNA from 1 species